GUUCGUUCAUCCUGACAUUAACGGAUGC
rnacentral:sRNA from 1 species